rnacentral:rRNA from 1 species
CGAACGAAGCACCUGAGAAUGAUUCUUCGGAUGAAGUCUCUUGUGACUGAGUGGCGGACGGGUGAGUAACGCGUGGGUAACCUGCCUCACACAGGGGGAUAACAGUUGGAAACGACCGCUAAUACCGCAUAACCCGCUGGUGCCGCAUGGCACUGACGGAAAAGAUUUUAUCGGUGUGAGAUGGACCCGCGUCUGAUUAGCCAGUUGGCAGGGUAACGGCCUACCAAAGCGACGAUCAGUAGCCGGCCUGAGGGGGUGAACGGCCACAUUGGGACUGAGACACGGCCCAGACUCCUGCGGGAGGCAGCAGUGGGGAAUAUUGCACAAUGGGGGAAACCCUGAUGCAGCGACGCCGCGUGAGUGAAGAAGUAUUUCGGUAUGUAAAGCUCUAUCAGCAGGGAAGAAAAUGACGGUACCUGACUAAGAAGCCCCGGCUAACUACGUGCCAGCAGCCGCGGUAAUACGUAGGGGGCAAGCGUUAUCCGGAUUUACUGGGUGUAAAGGGAGCGUAGACGGUGAUGCAAGUCAGAAGUGAAAGCCCGGGGCUCAACUCCGGGACUGCUUUUGAAACUGUGUGACUGGAGUGCAGGAGAGCUAACCGCAAUUCCUGGUGUAGCGGUGAAAUGCG